GAGGGUGUGGCUAAGUGCUAAAGCAGCUUGCUGGCAUGUAAGUAGGUCCUGGGUUUGAUUCUCAGCACCAUAA
rnacentral:tRNA from 1 species